rnacentral:rRNA from 1 species
ACUGGGCGUAAAGCGCACGCAGGCGGUCUGUCAAGUCGGAUGUGAAAUCCCCGGGCUCAACCUGGGAACUGCAUUCGAAACUGGCAGGCUAGAGUCUUGUAGAGGGGGGUAGAAUUCCAGGUGUAGCGGUGAAAUGCGUAGAGAUCUGGAGGAAUACCGGUGGCGAAGGCGGCCCCCUGGACAAAGACUGACGCUCAGGUGCGAAAGCGUGGGGAGCAAACAGGAUUAGAUACCCUGGUAGUCCACGCCGUAAACGAUGUCGACUUGGAGGUUGUGCCCUUGAGGCGUGGCUUCCGGAGCUAACGCGUUAAGUCGACCGCCUGGGGAGUACGGCCGCAAGGUUAAAACUCAAAUGAAUUGACGGGGGCCCGCACAAGCGGUGGAGCAUGUGGUUUAAUUCGAUGCAACGCGAAGAACCUUACCUACUCUUGACAUCCAGA